rnacentral:rRNA from 1 species
UACGUAGGGUGCAAGCGUUUAAUCGGAAUACUGGGCGUAAAGCGUGCGCAGGCGGUUAUGUAAGACAGUUGUGAAAUCCCCGGGCUCAACCUGGGAACUGCAUCUGUGACUGCAUAGCUAGAGUACGGUAGAGGGGGAUGGAAUUCCGCGUGUAGCAGUGAAAUGCGUAGAUAUGCGGAGGAACACCGAUGGCGAAGGCAAUCCCCCUGGACCUGUACUGACGCUCAUGCACGAAAGCGUGGGGAGCAAACAGG